rnacentral:rRNA from 1 species
GGGUUGUGAGGUUAAGCGACUAAGCGUACACGGUGGAUGCCCUGGCAGUCAGAGGCGAUGAAGGACGUGCUAAUCUGCGAUAAGCGUCGGUAAGGUGAUAUGAACCGUUAUAACCGGCGAUUUCCGAAUGGGGAAACCCAGUGUGUUUCGACACACUAUCAUUAACUGAAUCCAUAGGUUAAUGAGGCGAACCGGGGGAACUGAAACAUCUAAGUACCCCGAGGAAAAGAAAUCAACCGAGAUUCCCCCAGUAGCGGCGAGCGAACGGGGAGCAGCCCAGAGCCUGAAUCAGUGUGUGUGUUAGUGGAAGCGUCUGGAAAGGCGCGCGAUACAGGGUGACAGCCCCGUACACAAAAAUGCACAUGCUGUGAGCUCGAUGAGUAGGGCGGGACACGUGGUAUCCUGUCUGAAUAUGGGGGGACCAUCCUCCAAGGCUAAAUACUCCUGACUGACCGAUAGUGAACCAGUACCGUGAGGGAAAGGCGAAAAGAACCCCGGCGAGGGGAGUGAAAAAGAACCUGAAACCGUGUACGUACAAGCAGUGGGAGCACGCUUAGGCGUGUGACUGCGUACCUUUUGUAUAAUGGGUCAGCGACUUAUAUUCUGUAGCAAGGUUAACCGAAUAGGGGAGCCGAAGGGAAACCGAGUCUUAACUGGGCGUUAAGUUGCAGGGUAUAGACCCGAAACCCGGUGAUCUAGCCAUGGGCAGGUUGAAGGUUGGGUAACACUAACUGGAGGACCGAACCGACUAAUGUUGAAAAAUUAGCGGAUGACUUGUGGCUGGGGGUGAAAGGCCAAUCAAACCGGGAGAUAGCUGGUUCUCCCCGAAAGCUAUUUAGGUAGCGCCUCGUGAAUUCAUCUCCGGGGGUAGAGCACUGUUUCGGCAAGGGGGUCAUCCCGACUUACCAACCCGAUGCAAACUACGAAUACCGGAGAAUGUUAUCACGGGAGACACACGGCGGGUGCUAACGUCCGUCGUGAAGAGGGAAACAACCCAGACCGCCAGCUAAGGUCCCAAAGUCAUGGUUAAGUGGGAAACGAUGUGGGAAGGCCCAGACAGCCAGGAUGUUGGCUUAGAAGCAGCCAUCAUUUAAAGAAAGCGUAAUAGCUCACUGGUCGAGUCGGCCUGCGCGGAAGAUGUAACGGGGCUAAACCAUGCACCGAAGCUGCGGCAGCGACGCUGAUGCGUUGUUGGGUAGGGGAGCGUUCUGUAAGCCUGUGAAGGUGUACUGUGAGGUAUGCUGGAGGUAUCAGAAGUGCGAAUGCUGACAUAAGUAACGAUAAAGCGGGUGAAAAGCCCGCUCGCCGGAAGACCAAGGGUUCCUGUCCAACGUUAAUCGGGGCAGGGUGAGUCGACCCCUAAGGCGAGGCCGAAAGGCGUAGUCGAUGGGAAACAGGUUAAUAUUCCUGUACUUGGUGUUACUGCGAAGGGGGGACGGAGAAGGCUAUGUUGGCCGGGCGACGGUUGUCCCGGUUUAAGCGUGUAGGCUGGUUUUCCAGGCAAAUCCGGAAAAUCAAGGCUGAGGCGUGAUGACGAGGCACUACGGUGCUGAAGCAACAAAUGCCCUGCUUCCAGGAAAAGCCUCUAAGCAUCAGGUAACAUCAAAUCGUACCCCAAACCGACACAGGUGGUCAGGUAGAGAAUACCAAGGCGCUUGAGAGAACUCGGGUGAAGGAACUAGGCAAAAUGGUGCCGUAACUUCGGGAGAAGGCACGCUGAUAUGUAGGUGAAGUCCCUCGCGGAUGGAGCUGAAAUCAGUCGAAGAUACCAGCUGGCUGCAACUGUUUAUUAAAAACACAGCACUGUGCAAACACGAAAGUGGACGUAUACGGUGUGACGCCUGCCCGGUGCCGGAAGGUUAAUUGAUGGGGU